rnacentral:rRNA from 1 species
GAUGAACGCUAGCUACAGGCUUAACACAUGCAAGUCGAGGGGAAACGAUAUUGGAAGCUUGCUUCCGAUAGGCGUCGACCGGCGCACGGGUGAGUAACGCGUAUCCAACCUGCCCAUCACUUGGGGAUAACCUUGCGAAAGUAAGACUAAUACCCAAUGACGUCUCUAGAAGACAUCUGAAAGAGAUUAAAGAUUUAUCGGUGACGGAUGGGGAUGCGUCUGAUUAGCUUGUUGGCGGGGUAACGGCCCACCAAGGCGACGAUCAGUAGGGGUUACGAGAGGAAGGUCCCCCACAUUGGAACUGAGACACGGUCCAAACUCCGACGGGAGGCAGCAGUGAGGAAUAUUGGUCAAUGGGCGAGAGCCUGAACCAGCCAAGUAGCGUGCAGGAUGACGGCCCUAUGGGUUGUAAACUGCUUUUAUAAGGGAAUAAAGUGAGCCACGUGUGGCUUUUUGCAUGUACCUUAUGAAUAAGGACCGGCUAAUUCCGUGCCAGCCGCCGCAGUAA